AGCCUGAUGCAGCCAUGCCGCGUGUGUGAAGAAGGCCUUCGGGUUGUAAAGCACUUCAGUCGUGAGGAAGGUAGUGUAGUUAAUAGCUGCAUUAUUUGACGUUAGCGACAGAAGAAGCACCGGCUAACUCCGUGCCAGCAGCCGCGGUAAUACGGAGGGUGCGAGCGUUAAUCGGAAUUACUGGGCGUAAAGCGCAUGCAGGUGGUUUGUUAAGUCAGAUGUGAAAGCCCGGGGCUCAACCUCGGAAUUGCAUUUGAAACUGGCAGACUAGAGUACUGUAGAGGGGGGUAGAAUUUCAGGUGUAGCGGUGAAAUGCGUAGAGAUCUGAAGGAAUACCGGUGGCGAAGGCGGCCCCCUGGACAGAUACUGACACUCAGAUGCGAAAGCGUGGGGAGCAAACAGGAUUAGAUACCCUGGUAGUCCACGCCGUAAACGAUGUCUACAGUUGUGGCCUUGAGCCGUGGCUUUCGGAGCUAACGCGUUAAGUAGACCGCCUGGG
rnacentral:rRNA from 1 species